rnacentral:lncRNA from 1 species
GGGUGGGUGCCCGCCGUCCCGCGGCUCCCCCGGGGCUGCCGCGACAGCUGCCAGUGGAGUAGGGCUGGCAGCCGCCCCGGAAGGAGACAUCUGCCCGGGCUGUCGCCGCGGCGGAAGAGCAGGGGGCAGCUGCAUAUGGAAGCAGAGACAAGGACAGGAGCAGAGGAGACCGCAGGACCGCCCUCGCCCUCGCCCUCGUUGCCCGCCCCCCAAGCCGCGGUGCUGCCAGGGACACCCGAUAUGUUGGAUUAGCACUGCUUUAAUUGAGGAUGACCUCGUCUUAACCUGAUUACAUCUGCAAAGACCUGUUUCCCAAGCACUUCUGAGAAGAAGACUGCAGGCCUCGAGGGACAGCCAAAGGCGCCACGGCUCAAAAAAGUUGAAAGUAUUCAACUGUGUUCCCUGCGAGACCUGGGAAGUCCUGGGCACACCGGGCUGAUCUCUCAGCUGUGUGAGUGAGCGUGGUCACGUUUCCACCCGACUCUUGGUAGAAGUCACCGUGACUGAAGGCUCCCGGGGGCG